rnacentral:rRNA from 1 species
AGCGAACGCUGGCGGCAUGCCUAACACAUGCAAGUCGAACGAGACCUUCGGGUCUAGUGGCGCACGGGUGCGUAACGCGUGGGAAUCUGCCCUUGGGUUCGGAAUAACAGUGAGAAAUUACUGCUAAUACCGGAUGAUGUCUUCGGACCAAAGAUUUAUCGCCCAGGGAUGAGCCCGCGUAGGAUUAGCUAGUUGGUGGGGUAAUGGCCUACCAAGGCGACGAUCCUUAGCUGGUCUGAGAGGAUGAUCAGCCACACUGGGACUGAGACACGGCCCAGACUCCUACGGGAGGCAGCAGUGGGGAAUAUUGGACAAUGGGCGCAAGCCUGAUCCAGCAAUGCCGCGUGAGUGAUGAAGGCCUUAGGGUUGUAAAGCUCUUUUACCCGGGAUGAUAAUGACAGUACCGGGAGAAUAAGCGCCGGCUAACUCCGUG